rnacentral:rRNA from 1 species
AACGAACGCUGGCGGCAUGCCUAACACAUGCAAGUCGAACGAAGGCUUCGGCCUUAGUGGCGCACGGGUGCGUAACGCGUGGGAACCUGCCCCUCGGUUCGGAAUAACAGUUAGAAAUGACUGCUAAUACCGGAUGAUGACUUCGGUCCAAAGAUUUAUCGCCGAGGGAUGGGCCCGNGUAGGAUUAGCUUGUUGGUGGGGUAAAGCCUACCAAGGCGACGAUCCUUAGCUGGUCUGAGAGGAUGAUCAGCCACACUGGGACUGAGACACGGCCCAGACUCCUACGGGAGGCAGCAGGUGGGGAAUAUUGGACAAUGGGCGAAAGCCUGAUCCAGCAAUGCCGCGUGAGUGAUGAAGG